rnacentral:rRNA from 1 species
GACGAACGCUGGCGGCGUGCCUAAUACAUGCAAGUAGAACGCUGAAGAGAGGAGCUUGCUCUUCUUGGAUGAGUUGCGAACGGGUGAGUAACGCGUAGGUAACCUGCCUUGUAGCGGGGGAUAACUAUUGGAAACGAUAGCUAAUACCGCAUAACAAUGGAUGACACAUGUCAUUUAUUUGAAAGGGGCAAUUGCUCCACUACAAGAUGGACCUGCGUUGUAUUAGCUAGUAGGUGAGGUAACGGCUCACCUAGGCGACGAUACAUAGCCGACCUGAGAGGGUGAUCGGCCACACUGGGACUGAGACACGGCCCAGACUCCUACGGGAGGCAGCAGUAGGGAAUCUUCGGCAAUGGGGGCAACCCUGACCGAGCAACGCCGCGUGAGUGAAGAAGGUUUUCGGAUCGUAAAGCUCUGUUGUAAGUCAAGAACGAGUGUGAGAGUGGAAAGUUCACACUGUGACGGUAGCUUACCAGAAAGGGACGGCUAACUACGUGCCAGCAGCCGCGGUAAUAUGUAGGUCCCGAGCGUUGUCCGGAUUUAUUGGGCGUAAAGCGAGCGCAGGCGGUUUGAUAAGUCUGAAGUUAAAGGCUGUGGCUCAACCAUAGUUCGCUUUGGAAACUGUCAAGCUUGAGUGCAGAAGGGGAGAGUGGAAUUCCAUGUGUAGCGGUGAAAUGCGUAGAUAUAUGGAGGAACACCGGUGGCGAAAGCGGCUCUCUGGUCUGUAACUGACGCUGAGGCUCGAAAGCGUGGGGAGCGAACAGGAUUAGAUACCCUGGUAGUCCACGCCGUAAACGAUGAGUGCUAGGUGUUGGAUCCUUUCCGGGAUUCAGUGCCGCAGCUAACGCAUUAAGCACUCCGCCUGGGGAGUACGACCGCAAGGUUGAAACUCAAAGGAAUUGACGGGGGCCCGCACAAGCGGUGGAGCAUGUGGUUUAAUUCGAAGCAACGCGAAGAACCUUACCAGGUCUUGACAUCCCGAUGCUAUUUCUAGAGAUAGAAAGUUACUUCGGUACAUCGGUGACAGGUGGUGCAUGGUUGUCGUCAGCUCGUGUCGUGAGAUGUUGGGUUAAGUCCCGCAACGAGCGCAACCCCUAUUGUUAGUUGCCAUCAUUCAGUUGGGCACUCUAGCGAGACUGCCGGUAAUAAACCGGAGGAAGGUGGGGAUGACGUCAAAUCAUCAUGCCCCUUAUGACCUGGGCUACACACGUGCUACAAUGGUUGGUACAACGAGUUGCGAGUCGGUGACGGCAAGCUAAUCUCUUAAAGCCAAUCUCAGUUCGGAUUGUAGGCUGCAACUCGCCUACAUGAAGUCGGAAUCGCUAGUAAUCGCGGAUCAGCACGCCGCGGUGAAUACGUUCCCGGGCCU